rnacentral:rRNA from 1 species
GUAGGUGGCAUGCGUUGUCCGGAAUUAUUGGGCGUAAAGCGCGCGCAGGUGGUUCUUUAAGUCUGAUGUGAAAGCCCCCGGCUCAACCGGGGAGGGUCAUUGGAAACUGGGGAACUUGAGUGCAGGAGAGGAAAGUGGAAUUCCACGUGUAGCGGUGAAAUGCGUAGAUAUGUGGAGGAACACCAGUGGCGAAGGCGACUUUCUGGCCUGUAACUGACACUGAGGCGCGAAAGCGUGGGGAGCAAACAGGGAUUAGAUACCCUGGUAGUCCACGCCGUAAACGAUGAGUGCUAAGUGUUGGGGGGGUUUCCCGCCCCUCAGUGCUGCAGCUAACGCAUUAAGCACUCCGCCUGGGGAGUACGGUCGCAAGACUG